rnacentral:rRNA from 1 species
AAUGAGACUGCCGGUGACAAGCCGGAGGAAGGUGGGGAUGACGUCAAGACCUCAUGGCCCUUAUAGGUGGGGCUACACACGUCAUACAAUGGCUGGUACAAAGGGUUGCCAACCCGCGAGGGGGAGCUAAUCCCAUAAAGCCAGUCGUAGUCCGGAUCGUAGUCUGCAACUCGACUACGUGAAGUCGGAAUCGCUAGUAAUCGUGGAUCAGAAUGUCACGGUGAAUACGUUCCCGGGUCUU